GAUGAACGCUGGCGGCGUGCCUAAUACAUGCAAGUCGAGCGAACAGAUGAGGAGCUUGCUCCUCUGACGUUAGCGGCGGACGGGUGAGUAACACGUGGAUAACCUACCUAUAAGACUGGGAUAACUUCGGGAAACCGGAGCUAAUACCGGAUAAUAUAUUGAACCGCAUGGUUCAAUAGUGAAAGACGGUUUUGCUGUCACUUAUAGAUGGAUCCGCGCCGCAUUAGCUAGUUGGUAAGGUAACGGCUUACCAAGGCAACGAUGCGUAGCCGACCUGAGAGGGUGAUCGGCCACACUGGAACUGAGACACGGUCCAGACUCCUACGAGAGGCAGCAGUAGGGAAUCUUCCGCAAUGGGCGAAAGCCUGACGAAGCAACGCCGCGUGAGUGAUGAAGGUCUUCGGAUCGUAAAACUCUGUUAUUAGGGAAGAACAAAUGUGUAAGUAACUAUGCACGUCUUGACGGUACCUAAUCAGAAAGCCACGGCUAACUACGUG
rnacentral:rRNA from 1 species